GCUCUCGUGGCCCAGUUGGUUAGUGCGUCGUACUUAUAAGCAGUAGCCUACUUGAGUAUAUGCGAAGGUCGAGGGUUUGAUCCCCUCCGAGAGCA